rfam:Enterococcus saccharolyticus ATCC 43076 genomic scaffold acpML-supercont1.1, whole genome shotgun sequence.
GGGGGCGUUACGGAUUCGACAGGCAUAGUUCGAACUUGAAUUGCGUUUCGUAGGUUACGUCUACGUAAAAACGUUACAGUUAAAUAUAACUGCUAAAAACAAUAACUCUUACGCUUUAGCUGCCUAAAAACAGUUAACGUAGAUCCUCCCGGCAUCGCCCAUGUGCUCGGGUCAGGGUCCUAUUCUAAGUGGGAUACGCUAAAUUUUUCCGUCUGUAAAAUUUAGAAGAGAUUAUCAGACUAGCGACAUAAAUAGCCUGUCACUCGGCGAUUUAUCGAGCGAACCUCUUAAAUAGAACUGACUAUGAACGUAGAUUUUUGAGUGGCGAUAUGUUUGGACGCGGGUUCGACUCCCGCCGCCUCCAUAU